CACGUAGGGUGCGAGCGUUGUCCGGAAUUAUUGGGCGUAAAGAGCUCGUAGGCGGGGUGUCGCGUCGGCCGUGAAAACCUGCAGCUUAACUGUGGGCUUGCGGUCGAUACGGGCAUCACUGGAGUUCGGCAGGGGAGACUGGAAUUCCUGGUGUAGCGGUGAAAUGCGCAGAUAUCAGGAGGAACACCGGUGGCGAAGGCGGAUCUCUGGGCCAAUACUGACGCUGAGGAGCGAAAGCGUGGGGAGCGAACAGG
rnacentral:rRNA from 1 species